ensembl:lncRNA
AAACACAAGCUUCUCUUUAUUCCACAACAAACUCAGUUCCCAGACUAUGCAGAGCUGAUUGUCAAGUUUCUGGAUGCACUGAUUGACACCUAUCUGCCGGGCAUCGAUGAGGCAAUGAGCGAGGAGGGUCUGCACACACCCACCUCUCCAUACCCUCCACCUGUCCAGAGUCAGCUCAGCAUCACUGCUAACCUCAACCUCUCCAUUUCAAUGACCUCACUGGCCACCUCCCAGCAUACACCAGGAAUCGAUAAAGAGAAGGUGGAUCUGUCCCCCACCACAGGUCUGACAGCCAGCAGACGCACACGCCACGGUUCAGCCAGCCAGUGGGAUCAGUGGAAAGAGGAUGCUGCUGUCGUUUAGGCCGCUGAUCUCCGUCUCUGUGCUAACUCUGCUGGGCUGGUGCUGGUACAGCUUUAGUAGGAGGAGGACAACGAUGAAUCCAACACAAGUGAACAUGUGUUGUUCGGCCAGAAGCAGCCCUCUUUACUCCUCCCCUGCUGACUCCAGUAUUUUGGGCGAAAGUGAUCUGAGCAUGGACCACAGCAACUCAGGAUCCUCUGAAAUCAAAAACCUUACCAGCACCUCUUCCAAAACAGGCCUCACCAAGGGAGUUCGACCCGAGCCAGAAGGAGAAGUAUCCGUUCGCUUCCCUGAGACUCUCCAAACUGAGCAGGAAAAGGACAACGUUGCUGGUGAAGGUCAUCCAGACUGUGGAGAAGUUAGUGAAGAUGACUCUAGACUUGAGUCUGAUCUGGUUUGUCUCUCUUCAAACCACCUUGCCACCGACUCUCACACUUUAACAGAGCAACAGUCAGGUGCUGUCCGCUUGGACAGUCAUAAUGGCAGCAGCCUGACCACUGAUGGAGGCCUGAACCAGGAGAACCUGGAGAAGAUCAGUUCUGUUCAGCAGACAACAAGUCAUAGAUGCAGCAGCAGAGGACUGGAAAAACCAGGAACCCAGUGAUCCACAUGAGCCUGGAUUUCAGUUUGCUGCUCGAGAAUCAUUCAGCUGCGAUGACAACAGAAGAGUAUGCCUUCAGGAAGCCAGCUCUUUCAGGGAAAAACUACUCAGCCAUUUAAGAACUUCUGGUGAUGAUUCUGGAUGUGGUUCCUGCUUCUCAGAAGAUGCAUCCGAUGCAGAAGGGCUGACCAGAGAGUUGUCUGAGGAAGGUCAAGGGUUUGUUAUGAUCCCCACAGAAGCAAACACAGUCAGCAUUGAGAGCAAAAUGACUCCCUGUAUGCUCGAGGUGACAGAAGGAGAGGAGGAGGCCUUGAGAGGUUCAGAUGUUAAAAGCUGCAUUAGUGCUGACACUCAGGUGAGCAGCUUGGCUCCUCCUCCAACCCCACCCAUCAUUAUCUGAGACAUAGAGGUGCCAGCGGUGAGCUCCGCCCACAGACACACCCACAUACUGAAAUU